rnacentral:rRNA from 1 species
UACGUAGGGUGCAAGCGUUGUCCGGAAUUAUUGGGCGUAAAGAGCUCGUAGGCGGUCUGUUACGUCUGCUGUGAAAUCCCGGGGCUUAACCCCGGGCGUGCAGUGGAUACGGGCAGGCUGGAGGCAGGCAGGGGAGAACGGAAUUCCCGGUGUAGCGGUGAAAUGCGCAGAUAUCGGGAGGAACACCGGUGGCGAAGGCGGUUCUCUGGGCCUGUACUGACGCUGAGGAGCGAAAGCGUGGGGAGCGAACAGG